rnacentral:rRNA from 1 species
GAUGAACGCUGGCGGCGUGCCUAAUACAUGCAAGUCGAACGAAAAGGCGCUGCGCUUGCUCGUCUCUCGUGAGCGGCAGGCGGGUGUAAAACACGUGUAUCCCGUACCUGUCUUAGGGAUAUCUCUUCGAAACUGGGGAGAUAAUACCGUAUGAUAUCUUGCUGCACGUUGUUCGUUGGUAAGUUGCGGCGGUUGUGGAUGGACUCGCGGCUUAUCCGCUUGUUGGUGUGGUUGUGACUUACAAAGGCUUGGAAGGCUAGCCGGCCUGGCAGGGUGACCGGCCACAUUGGGAUUGGGGUACGACCCAUACUGCUACGGGAGGAAGCAGUGGGGAAUAUUGCACAAAGGGCGGAGGCCGGAUGCAGCAACGCCGCGUGCGGGAAGACGGCCUUCGGGUUGUAAACCGCUUUCGCCUGUGACGAAGCGUGAGUGACGGUAAUGGGUAAAGAAGCACCGGCUAACUACGG